UACGACCACAUCACGUUGAAACACCAGUUCCCUGAAGUUAAGCAAUGUCGAGCCUGGUCAGUACCUAGAUGGGGGACCGCUUGGGAAAACAGGGUGUUGUAA